UUGUAUUUUUUUAAUUUUCUUUGAUGUUUUUUCUGUUUCCCCUGAUCAUUUUCACUUGUAGUCUUGUACCAUGUUCUACAUAUAUCAGUGUAUAAACUGCUUCGAACUGAAAUUUAAUUGAAAUAAUAUGUGUGUGUAUGCAUCUAGUCAUAUAUCUAGGGUAUUGUUGGAUUCAAAUUGAUGUAAUUGCCAAUUUCAUUUCAUAUAUUGUAGAAAAAGAAGAUGAAUAGACUGGACUCGUAAAGGGCUUUUGCCUCGUCGAACCGGUGUUUGCUAGUCUCCACCGUUGAUGAGGUUAUGCGAGUCACUGAUGAUGCAAAUCACUGAUUUGAUAGACUGCAGGUGUCGUUUUUUCUUCUUGGAGGCGUUGCCAUUGCCUUCAGCUAUGCCCCUCUUCGAGCUCGGGGAAAACCCUAGGUCUGGCUACUCCAGACCGGAUGGCGAAGACGUCUCAGCGUCACGUUCCUUCUUGAAGGCGCUUGCUUGCUCGCGAUGUCCCCGGUGUUAGAUUUGGUGAUGUUGGGACUCAUUGCUGGGUCGGCUUUGUCGGUUCGGGCUUGGUUGGUUUUAGCUGUGUUGUUCCCCUUUUCGG